rnacentral:rRNA from 1 species
CCUACGGGAGACAGCAGUGAGGAAUAUUGGUCAAUGGCCGUAAGGCUGAACCAGCCAAGUAGCGUGAAGGAAGAAGGAUCUAUGGUUUGUAAACUUCUUUUAUAGGGGAAUAAAGGUAUCCACGUGUGGAUAUUUGCAUGUACCCUAUGAAUAAGCAUCGGCUAACUCCGUGCCAGCAGCCGCGGUAAUACGGAGGAUGCGAGCGUUAUCCGGAUUUAUUGGGUUUAAAGGGUGCGUAGGUUGUUUUUUAAGUCAGCGGUGAAAGUUUGUGGCUCAACCAUAAAAUUGCAGUUGAAACUGGCAGACUUGAGUGUGUUUGAGGUAGGCGGAAUGCGUGGUGUAGCGGUGAAAUGCAUAGAUAUCACGCAGAACUCCGAUUGCGAAGGCAGCUUACUAGGCCAUAACUGACACUGAAGCACGAAAGCGUGGGGAUCAAACAGGAUUAGAUACCCCAGUAGUC